rnacentral:rRNA from 1 species
UACAGAGGUCCCGAGCGUUGUUCGGAUUCACUGGGCGUAAAGGGUGCGUAGGUGGUGAGGCAAGUCGGAUGUGAAAUUCUGGAGCUUAACUCCGGAACGGCAUUGGAAACUGCCUUGCUGGAGGUUUGGAGGGGGGACUGGAAUUCUCGGUGUAGCAGUGAAAUGCGUAGAUAUCGAGAGGAACACCGGUGGCGAAGGCGAGUCCCUGGACAACACCUGACACUGAGGCACGAAAGCUAGGGGAGCAAACAGG